AUCAAUUUGUACUGACCAAAUUUUUACGGAUUUCAAAAGUUUAUAUUCCAGAUUUUUAUAAAUUUCAAAAUUUUAUACUCCAGAUUAGUACCGUUCAAGUUUUUACAUUCCAAGUAUUUACGUGGACCUCGAUUAUUUGGUAUAAGUAUGGUGAGCAGACAAACUCUUUUUUGAUGCAUUGUUCUAGUGUCUUUAUCAAUAGUAAUAACUAUAUGAAAUUGUAUUAUUUUUUUUAAAUUUAAAUGCUAUGUUUUUAUAUUAUGCAAUUUUGUAUUUAAAGUUUUAUUUUUUUCAAUAAUUAUACAUAAGAAUAUUUCUUUUAUUUUCAGUGUAUUGAGUUUCAAAGAAUUUUCUUUAUAAUGAUACACACCUA